GAGGCAGGAGAAUCGCUUGAACCCAGGAGGCGGAGGUUGCAGUGAAUACAAUAAAAUGCACCCAUAGAAUGGCCGAUAUCGCGCCAUUGCACUCCAGCCUGGGUGACAGAGCGAGACUUCAUCUCAAAAAAAAGAAGGAAGAAAGGUACAUUCUCAUAAUGCCUUAAAUUAGUUACUUGGGAUUUAUUUGACAAUGAUUAGGAAUAACUGUUUCAAAAGAUAUAUUUUUUCAUAUACCUUAGAAAACAAUAGAUAUUUGUUCAACUCUCUAAUCGUGGGUUUGCAUUUGAAAUGUGUAUUGUGAUUCAAAAGUUUUCUCUACCUAGAAGGGGAAUACAACACAUGGAAAUUAUUAUUGCUGGUGACACCAGAUAAUAUUUUGCCUAAACUCCUGAGGUGAGUGCUCUAUGAAGACCCCAUUCAACCCAGACCUUUGAAAUGGCUCACUUCCCAUUUAAACUCUAUUAAUCUUCUACCUCAUGGAGGCAACAGGUGGUUUAGAAAAGAGCCAAUAGAAAGAUAAUUUUUGUCCUUCAGGAUCAGUGCCAAUGGAAAAAAGUGACCUGAAAUACAGAUCUCAGGCCUGACAUGAUGAAAAUCUAGUGCCACAGCUGUUGUCUCUCAGAACUGUCACUCAUCAUGUUUUAAUUUCACAGUUUUGAUUUAAUCUUUUCUAAAUACAGCACUGGAUAAAUACAGAACAAGAUAACAAGAGUUCCCAGCAAAGGAUCCAGUGAAUAUCAUUCUUCUAUCAUGCAGCUUGAAAUAACAUGGUGCUAAGCAUGGAUUUUUCCACCGAAUGAGGAAAUUCUAAUUCUAAUUGUUAGUCUCUUUAUCAAUGAUGCCAAGUGGCAAGGAACAUCACCAUCUUUGGAGACCUAGUGGUGGAGUUAAACUACUACAGGGAAACAACUUUACGUAUAGAGGAGUUGAGCUUCCUAGAGGAAAAGAAGGAAAAUCAUUCCUAAUGGAAGAUCAACUAUUCAAGAAAGAAAGAAGAGCAAUGAGAAAGCUAUGUACAGCUUACAGCAAUUUGAUAAAGUAUUCUCUUGUACAUAAAAAUGGAAACAUUUGCUUUUCUUCCCUACUUGAUCUCUCCAAAAUUCAGAAACUAUUAUUUUCUCUAAUAUCUGGGUACAACUCUUCAACAAAGAAUGAGAACUGCUCUGUUCCUGAAACCCUAUAGCCAAAGUUUGACAAUUCAAUAUACAUUCCAAGGGACAAGUCUCAUGCCUGAUGUUUGAGCCACACAGAUAGUUUGUGAGAAUGUCUGAUGCCACAACUGAAGAUAUUCAAACUGCAAAUUAGGAUAACUCUCUGACUUCAUGCUGUGGAUAGCUUUUCACAAAACCAGAGGAACAAGACUCCAUAUCAUAGAAACUGCCACAGCCACCUCAACCUUCAGCAAACACCACCCUGACCAGUGAGCGGCAGUCAACAUUGAGGCAAGACCUUUCAGCAGAAAGAUUAUAAUUCUCUGAAGACUCAGAUGAUCAUUAGCAUUUCUAGCAACAAUGUAUUUUAAAUUAAGAUAUUCGAUGUGAUUCACCAGUACAGCCAUAUGAACAUGAUAUUUUGAUUUUAGGAAUGUUUCAUUACAAAUGCAAUUCCUUCAACAGAGCUCACUGCUUUGGACAUAUAGUCAGUAAUGCAUAAUGCAUUUAACUAAGCAUUUAAUGGAGUUUUCUCUCCCAUUAAUACCAACUUUGAGAAUACUACUUCUUGGAUAUAGUAAAGAUGGUUGCUUCCAGGACUUCAAAAUCAUGGACCAGAUUGGCCAAACCGCAAGGCUUUUUCACUCCUCAGAAGAAAAAGUGGACACUAUAUGCCUCAAUGCAGCCGCAUUCCUGCUGGUCCCCAAAAGUAUAGUCACAAAAUUAAACAGGGGUCUCGCUUUGUCUCCGACUGAAGUGCAGUGGUGCCAUCAUAGCUCAGUGUAACCUCCGACUCCUGGGCUCAAGUGAUCCUUCUGCCUCUGCCUACCAAGUAGCUGGGACUACAGAGCUGACAUACUGUGAGGUUGUUCAGGUAGCCCUGUGGAGAAUCCCACAUUGGGAUGAACUGAGACCUUCUGCCAACAGCAAUCUGAGUGAGCCAUCUUGGAAGCGGAUCCUGUAGGCAUGGUCAAGCCAUCAGAUGAUUUCUCAUGCGUUUGCAACCUUGGCUGACAGUUUGAUCCAGCUAAGCCAUUCCCAGAUUCCUGACCCUCAGAAAUUAUGUGAAUAAUAAAUGUUUGUUGUUUGAGGCUGCUACAUCUUGGUGGAAUUUGUUAUGCAGCAGUAGGUAACUAACACAGGAAGGCAUGAUCCCUGGCCUCCACAAAUUUACAAUGUAGUUGGAAAAGUAGGUUAUAGGCACAAAAAAAUUAACAAACUACGAAAGAAUUUAAACAUUCUAUCAGAUGAACAGGACUGCUGUGGAGUAGAACUCCAGGGGAUGACAUCCACAUGAUGGUCUUUAUGAACUGCGGGUCCUGAAGCACUGUGGACUUGACAACAAGUAAUAAUUUAAAGGAAGAAAUCAAAGUUAUAAAAGUUUGAGUUGAAAAGAUUUGGGUAAACAGUGAGAAGGCUAUACAAGUCUCAAGAUAUGUCUGGGAAUCUCUCAUAGUUAUGA